GCACAAAGUCAUUGGCUGACUGAAGAUUCUCUGUCGUCGAAUAUUCGAAUCUCUACACUAGAAAUUAAGCAAGAAUGAUCUUUCGUCUAAACGUUUGUUUGUUGUUGAUCUUUGUGACUGGCGUUGCUCUUGGUGCUCGUCAUGAGCAAGAUACGCAAGGGCAAGUGAUUAAUUUGUGUUUUGCGAACGGUGGAAGUUGUGUGUCACCACAGGUCACCUGCAGAGAACAUUUGGAGGAAUUUGAUAUAUUUUGUCCGGAUGAUGAACAAUGCUGCCGAUAAUUCUUCGGUUAAGUUUGCAA